rnacentral:rRNA from 1 species
AAAGGUAAGCUACUAAGAGCGAAUGGUGGAUGCCUUGACUGGUAAAGGCGAUGAAGGACGUACUAGACUGCGAUAA